UACGAGCUAUUGGGUCCGGAUUAUUUCAUCCAACGAAUGAGCUGUGAGGAUACUGCAGCGCCAGAAUGACCUUUAUUGAAGUGUUUUAGCCACCGGUCGCUGUGGCGGCGACUCUCUCAUUAAUGUCCCCCUGUCCGGACUCCAGACAGGGUUUUUACUAUUAUUUAUAACAAGGCAGCCGGUUAAGAAUGGGAGGUAACAGCAGCACGACUAGGAAAGUGUCAUUCGGACUGGACGAAGACGAGAAGGUCACUGUAAUAGAAGGAGUGAAGCUUUCAGAGGAUGUGCUCCAGCGGAUGAGGGACUCCGAGGGGUCUGACAGCGCCAAGCCACCUUCACCACCUCCAUCAGAUAGUCACAAACCAACAUCAGGUCCAAAGCCAACGGGACCCUCCACUUCAGAAAUACAAGAAGAAAUCCGUAAAAACUUUGAGCGUCAGCAGGCCCUGGUACAGGAGCAGCUGGCCCAGCUGGCCAAGAGGGAGAGAGAGUCAGCAGGAACCACUGGCCUGGAUGAUCUGACUCCAGCCCUCAUCAUUGAGAAAGGAAAGGCCCAUGAGGAGCAUGAAAAGGCAAAGAUACUGCCAGCAGAUUUGGAUGCCUGGGCCAAAAAACUGGAGAGCAAGGAGAAGGAAUUGGCCAGCAUCUCCAGCUUCUACAAGGAGCAGCUAGAAAUACUGGAGAAAAAAAACCUUGACGGCUACAACCAGAUGGCAGAACAGUACAACGAGGCAGCUACUAAAGCUGAAGCUCACAUCAGACCUCGGCAGAGUGUGUCUCUGUGCACAGAGCUGCAGGCCAAGGUGCUCCAGUGCUACAGAGAAAAUCCACAGCAGACGCUGCUCUGCUCAAGCCUGGCCAAACAGUACAUGGCCUGUGUCCAGCAAGCCAAGUUUUUUGAAGACAACAGAAGGAUAGCAGUUAAUUAGACAGACCUGGAAGGAGCCUGACAGUGACACUGACAGAGGAACAAAAAGGCCUAUCCUUGACAGAGGAGCCAUCCAUUUCCAAAUGUAGUGCCAGCAGCAUCUUAAGCACCCCUCAGACAACAUUCAACCCGAGCAAAAAUGUUUAGACCUCCAUUCCUCAUGAAAAAAGGCUGAACGGCUUCAGGAUUGGAAGACAUUUUCGCCAUGUUAUUUCCUCCGUCUUCGGUCACGCUGCAAAACCCUUACAGCAAAAAAUCAAGACGUCUACAUUCAGACCUGUUCAAUUUGUGCAGGUGAAGAAGCUGGUUUAUAGGCACUCCCUGUUUAAAAGAGGAAAAAAAUGAGGGAUGAGUCUUUGUUGUGGGGAUGAAAGAGGAAAAAGAAGGUGCCUGUCAGUGAGGGAAUGUAAGGAGAGGAAAGGUGGAGAAGAGGCUUAAGAGUUGCCUGUCAGUAACAAAGGGUUAAUAGAAAACUGUAAGGGAGAGAUACAGUUUAGGAAUGAGUGGAUGAUGGAGGGAAUGUAGAGAGGAUGAAUAAAGAGAAGAGGAGCGGUUCUGUCGGCAGGGAGGAUAAGAGAAUGGCAGAAGGCAGUGAUGGAAGAAGAAAGAGAGGGAGAGGAGUCUCCUGUCAGUCAGUACUGUGGGAGGGAGAAACACGAGACUGGGAGAAAAAAAUGUCCGAUUUUAAGGAUUGUUAGGAUUGUAAAAUAGAGAGGAAAGAAGAAAAUGGUAAACCGUGCGUGUGUGUGUUUAUGUGUGUGUAUGGCUAUCAGUAGUUGCAGGUGGUGAGCCCUACUGUGAGCUUCGGCCUGCCUUCUAACUCUAAUCUGAUAACAGAGACACUCUGUUCAGCAGCAGUCUGGUACUGCACACACGCAGUUCUAUAUAUUAUAAUAUCCCUGUUAUUAAUAUCGUCUCUAUAUAAUAGCACACCUCCUACACUGAUUAUAGCUCAUGUGAUGUAAAACUGCGCCACUAUUCACAUGAUAUAUGAUAUUUCUCCACUACUGUCAUUCUAUAAAUCACCAUUAUUUUGCUCAUAUUCAUAUUUCAUGCCAUUAUAGUGCUAUGGAAACCUUUGUGGAAAGAAUAUUGACACAGAACUGUGUUGUGAAUAUCAUAUACCCACACAAACUCUCUCACACAUGCUCGCUCACAUAUUUUCGUCUCUUCAUGUCUCUCUUUCCUCAUCUCUCCUUCACAUCCAUCAUCUCCAAGGCGACCGCCCCGUGAUGGUGCAGGCCACAUAAAGAUUAGCUGUUCCCUCUCAUGUCCCUCCCCUUCAUCCUCCGACAGUCUCUCUGUCUCUCUCUCUCUCUCUCUCUCUCUCUCUCAGCACUCCAUCAGCAUCCAGCUAAACAUCUGAGCCAUGCUGCUACACUCCACUGCCCGCCAUCUCUGUAACAUGUGAUCAAUUCGCUCCUGCCAGGUUUGAGCUACCAUGUGUCUCACUUCAUUUGGGUACAGAUAAGGUGUCGGGGUAAAUUGUGACAAAGGGACUCGCUGUGGGAAGUCCGAGGUGUUACUCUGUGAAUGGAAUGGACUCAUGAUCAUCUUUAUCAUCGUAUUAUUAACAGCUCAAUGACACUGAGUCUCAUUUGUUCUCUGGUUUAGCUGUAUGGGUAUGUUAAGAGUUUUUAUCACGCAAGUCUGUGGGCUGAAGUGCAAAAAAAAUAUAGAAAUUGACAAGCAGAAUCACUAUGACAUGAAGGGAUCACAGAAAAGAAAAAUAUUACAAAAUGUAGUUAAGAUCAAUAUGAUAGCACCCCAGAGAAGAUGAAAAAUAUGGUAAGGAAAUAAAUAAUUUUGUCAAGUAGACUAGCAAAUUAAAAAAAAUGUAAUCAAAAUACAGUGUCACCAGAAACCCCUUUUUAAUCAAUAGUUACCAAAACAGACAUGUGUGAAGUGGCUUCUGGAGUUGGGUGCUGACUGAUGCCCAGCCUCCCUCUCGGUACUUUCCUGCAUCAUGCCACUCGUGUGCACCACCUGAACCUGUCGUGUCUUAUAGACCCGAGCUGUAAAUGACCUCAGUGCUGCAUUCUGUCUUGUCAGACUGGCAGUCUGGGACGCUGUGUUUGUUCUAAGCAUCCCUGACCGGUUCUGGCACCUCGCCAGCAUUCCUCACGGGGUCCCUGAGGUUAGCCCUAAAAAAACAUCCUCCUCCUGGUGAACCAGAGCUUCCAGACCAGCAGUCUAACCUAAACACCAACACCCUUGCUCCUUGUCUGGGCACAGUCAGCUAAUUGCACUCCUAGCUGCACUGUUAACUAAGCUGACUAGCUACUGGCAGCUUGCAGCACUUAUCACUCUGGUGAUAUAUUGUCCCCUAUUUGUUUGGAGUACGUAUCUGACAGUGGGCCAGUUCUUACAUUAUUGCACCUGGUUUUAACAUUGAACCAGAACAGAACAGACUGGGAUUUUCCGGAGGGAGGCCUUGAACAAACAGGUACUAAAAGGGAGUGUUCGGACAGGGUGACUCCAGGGUGCAGUGGACAGAUGUCCUGUUCUCAAACAGUUAGGCAGGUAAACAUUUUCUAGUAAACGCCCAAAAUAAAAAUGUGAACCUGAAGUUAAGCACGAUAUGGGACCUUAAAGGUCAGUAUGUCUGUGUGUGCCAAGACAGUUCUAAGUCUCUCUCUACCAUCACUCUAGUGGCUGAAAUGCUUGUUGUGAAGAAUGCCUUUUACAGAGAGGAACAGAAGUCUUGUACAAAUUUGGAUUUUGACCUGAUGAUGCUGUCAGAUUAAACGUUGGGGGAUCAUCAUAGUUGACAAAAACCAUGACUAUUUACACCAGAUUGGCUGGUCAUCCAUCCAGCAGGUGUUUUUGUGCCCAUUUAUCUUUAUCAGUACUGAUAUUUUACAGCAUAAGUGACAGCUUUAACCAGCUGGUGGCCCUAGAUUAAAAAAUUAAUGGUAUGAGCGAAAUCAGCAGCUUCCUCCUUAGUCCAUCAUGACUGGCUGUUCAAAGUUUCAUGGCUGUCCUAUUGAGGUUGAAAUAUAUCAGUCUGGUCCAAAGUGGGGGAGUGACUGGUCAAAGAAAUUGAAAUUGUUGAUUACUGACAGACUGCUAAAUGACUGAGUAGUUUAAAUGGUCCAUUCAGCCAGUUCUCCCAUAACCAACCAACAGACUGACUGAAAAAAAACUCUUGAUGAGGUAACCAACCAGCUGCCUGAGUAAGAGGCUUCUUUGGCUGACAGACUGAUUAACUGGGUGGCUGUCUUACUGACUGUGUAAUCAGUGAAAGGCUGUGUGUUUAUAAAGCAGCCAUAGCCACGGCCACUCGGUGAGCGUCUGAUUGACAGUCCUGCCUGGCAACUGUCUCCGUUCCUCCAGAGAGAAGGAGAGAACUGAGUGCUGUUAGCACUGAGCAAGAAGACAGUUAUUGAUUUUCUACUUGUCUAUUAUUUUUGUUUUUCACAGAGAAGAGGCGAGGCAAGCAUGUUUGUGUGUGUACGUGAGUGAGCGUCUCCUCAGAGUGGUGCACAUGUGUUUGUAUGUAGGUUCGCUGUCUGUAUGUUGCCCAUUAGGUUAUGACUGGGGAAGUGUGAACGCACGCAGCAUGUGUGCACUGUUUCCUCUACACUGCUGCUGUUCAAAGUCGAUUCCUGGCCAACGAACAUAACAAUCUACCCACUCCUUACACUGCUCACUAAUUGGAUGGAAACUGGCAGGUGGAGGAAAACAUGUCUUUGUGCGUCUGUAUGCUGUGUGUGCUUUGGUGUGAAUCAGUGUUUUUGCGUGUAUUAAAUCUAAUCUCAGCAGACACUUUUCCAUUACAGCAAGAGCCAGUGGUAAUGAAGCGAGGCUGCCGGUUCAACUUUGCACUUUUUAAUCCAGCGGUGGGAAGAUUUGUUCCAGCUCACGUGUCUAGGUUUAGAAGCAUAAAAAUGAAGGCACAAUACUGUGGUUAUUUUAAAAUGACAUGUGGCAUAUGAAGUCUAUAUGGGAUGUUGUAACAUUAAAAUCAGAGAAACAGUAAUAAUGCAAGUAGUCCACCUUCCCCUCCCUCACUUCUUUUAUUCACAUUGUUAUUCUUUUAUUGAUUGAAUGGCUGUCUUUUUUAUGGUUGUGUGUAUUAUCUGUCUUUUUAUGGUGUACGUAUUAUGUGUACUGUGAACUAUGGGAUACGUCUAUCUAUCUAGUAGGCGAGUGAUUAUUUUGUUUUUAAUUUAGUUAUAGCCUCAGUUUUUUGACUACAAUGUACCUUUGUUUAAAUAUUAGUCAUUUACUUUUUAGUUAACAACAACUAAAGAUGUGUUUGAUCUAGUUUUAAUUGGGGAAGUUUUUAGUUUAAUUUUCAUGAUGCAUGAUCCUCCAAUUUUCUGCUGCAUAUUUGUGCAUAUUUUUGUAGUUUGUUGAAGCUGUGUUGUUGUGACAUCCUGUUUAACUCUCAGUGGAUUCAUCUUUGAAUGAAUGGACAAAUGAUUUGGUAAUACGUCCUUUCAUUCGCCUGUCACAUUAUUGUGUUCUUUCAUAGUUUGGUUUUUAAUAGCUUCUUUUUAUUAGGUUUUAGUUUUUGUCUAGUAUCGGUAGUGUAAAAAUAGGUCUACAUUUUUUUUUUUUUUUCUGCCAUUGUUACCACUGAUGAAAUUAACACUGCAUUCUGUUGGUUUAACUAAAAUGUGAAUUGAUGAAGUUCACAAACCGACCAAGCUGCUACACAAGAUAUAAUCAUCUCCCAGACUUUGCUGCUAUCAGUUCCACAGACCUUCAGUCUGGUGCAUCCAGCUGAUGUAAACAUGGUGAGCAAAAUCUGAGAAGCACAUCUCAGUAUAACACAGUACAGUUGAAUCAGCACCUCUUUAAAACAGUUUCAACCAAAAACCUGAAUAUUAUAACCUUCAUAAAGGCAGGAUUUAUAGCAGGACGGAUUAGACUGCAUAAUCUUUAGCUUGGUGUACCUAAUAAUAAACUGACAACUAAGUGUGUGUCUUAAAUUCAGUGCAGACCCUGAGCUGGAGUAUUUGGCUGCCCUCCCUGCCCAAGGUGCCAUGCAUAAAAAGCUUUUCCUGUCUUUAAAUUAUCCAAGUGUGGAUGGCGGCAGUCCAAAUUUGGACCUGGGGCACAAAAUUUAACCGUGUGUACUGUGGGAGGUGCUGGGGGUCAGUUUGAAAUUCAGGAACUACUUCAUGAACUAUGCAUGAGGAAUAAUGUCCCAUCACACUGCUGUAUACGAGUGUGGCAAUACCUACACACCCUGCCGCCACAGGCUCACACAUGCGCGCACCUACACAAAUGUCAAUGCACGGCUGAACUCCAGCACACGCAAACAGAGCCACUUUCACACAAAUAGUGCAUUUUCAUGCACAUAUGCAGACCCCCCCACCUUUAUAUCUCAGGACGUGAGAGGAACAGUAAAGCUAAAUCCCCUUGUCACAUUUGCCGCUCAUCUCCAAUUCAAUGGCGCAGGCUGCGAUGCCCUCGGUUGCACUUGGCAAGUGAACAGCUAACCUGCCCGCCAGCGUAUCCGUCUGCCAGCCGAGCGCCGAGGUAGUUAGCAUGCCAACUAGCCCACCCAGCAGCCACAAGCUAAUGCUUCACUAACCCCGGGUCACCAUGUGUCUUCUCCUGCCACUGUGUGUUUGUUUGUGUAUUGACACAAUAGUUGUAACCUAUAGUAGACUGCUUUUCUAAAAAACAAUCAGCUCUAACUGUUUCUUACACUACGACAACACACAAAGGCGAUUCUAAAUAACCUUUCACUUUCACAUUUACAUCAAAAGUGUUUUGAUGGUCAAAUAUUAAAUAGGCAAAGCAUCACUACGGGAUUUAUUUUUGUCUCUCCUCUUGAUCUGUGCAGUUUUUGCCACAGAUUGAGAUAUUCUGUUUUAAUUCUGAUAAAGUAGACCUCAUAUGCUUGCUUGUUGGCACCUUUUAAAAGUCAAUUAAAGAUACAGUUUAUAACAUUUCUAAAAUAAAAUGUCUGAAAACGACAAGACCUUUCUUAUUUGUUUGUUGAGUUGUGUACUUGAAUUAUCCUAAAUGUUUCCGUCAUUGUUCAGAUCCAGAGAAAUACAUAACUUUAUUCAAGCCUGUUGCUUUAGCAUGCGGGCAAAAACAACAUGAUGUGGGAGGGAGACGACGAAUGUGACAAAAUGUAAUGCGAAUAAAACUUACACAUAUUGCCUAAACCAUGAA